GGGGGGGUGGCUCAGGGGUUACAGCAUAGGGCUCGUGACCGAAAAGUUCCGGGUUCGAACCUCGCAAGAGUCUG
rnacentral:tRNA from 1 species